GACGAACGCUGGCGGCGUGCUUAACACAUGCAAGUCGAACGAUGAGCGCUGGGAGCUUGCUCCUAUCAAUCUUAGUGGCGAACGGGUGAGUAACGCGUAAUCAACCUGCCCUUCAGAGGGGGACAACAGUUGGUAACGACUGCUAAUACCGCAUACGUUCUAAUCUCGUCAUCGAGGAUAGAUGUAAGGUGGCCUCUACAUGUAAGCUAUCACUGUAGGUGGGGAUUGCGUCUGCUUAGCUAGUUGGAGGGGUAACGGGCCACCAAGGCGAUGAGCAGUAGCCGGUCUGAGAGGGAGAACGGCCACAGUGGGACUGAGACACGGCCCAGACUCUUACGGGAGGCAGCAGUGGGGAAUCUUACGGAAUGGAGGAAAGGCUGACAGAGCAACGCCGCGUGAGUGAUGACGGCCUUAGGGUUGGAAAGCUCUGUUAAUCGGGGCGAAAGGCCUUCUUGCGAAUAGUGAGAAGGAUUGACGGUACCGGAAUAGAAAGCCACGGCUAACUACGUG
rnacentral:rRNA from 1 species